rnacentral:lncRNA from 1 species
CUGGGUUCUGGGUCAAGCCCCUAGUGCUGGAUUGAGGUUGUCUUCUGAAGAGAUAAACCCAAGCAGGCUGGUAAGAGGGAGUUUCAGUGUUCGCUACCAUCUUUCAGAGGCCUCUGAGCAGAUCUUCAGCUGAUUCUUCCUCAUCACCAGCAACAGAAGAGCCCUGGAAUUCUGGCCAAGCUGGUGGACGACGGAGCUGAGCAAGGCAGUACCCCAGCCAUCAUGAGCCUGGGAGAACCAGAGGGGAAGAGAAAGGGCUAAGUCUGAGAGGAAGCAAGAACCCUUGGAUUCUUGGAGAUACCUGGUCGAGGCAGAUUAUGAGUUCACUGUCAUCUCCAAGCCAAAGGGAGCCAACCUUGGAAGCUCCCUGCUCUGACCUUUUGCUGGCUGAAGGCCGAAUGCUAAGACUGACCUCAAGAUGAGGCAGCAGUCUGUAUGCUGAUCUCUGCUCCAGUGUCAAUGCACAGGCCUCUCCAGGAAUGAGAGUCUACAUUUACAACUUGAUGACACCUGACGCCUAGAGAGCAAAGCUCAAGGUUAUCAUGUGGCAUCAUGGACAAGCUGCAAUGCCAGGUAGCCCACCUGUGAUACGGGAGAGGCAAGGCUGGGGUGGGGGUGGGGUUGUCACACACCUCUCUGCUCCCCGAGUCAGUAAGAGAAUUCAGCGGUGGGUAUGUUUGGAGAUGUUUUGCUUCAGUUAUGCUGAGGGAUACUUCCAGGCCCGGUCAUUCAAGGAUGGCUGUGCACAAGAGCUCAGUUGGAGUGGAGACUUAGACUGUGACUCCUCAUCGAGUCACAUAUGAUACAUAUGUGUCACAUAUGAUAAGUCUGGCUUCUGGGAAGGGGCACAUUUAGGAGAACAGAAGCGUGUUUCAGUACAGUCGGUAAGAGGGUACACUGGGGAACAGCUGGGCACAGGGAGGGACUUAGUCUGAGCACAGUGAAGAGGGGAGUGUUCUUGGGGUACAGUGGUAGUAGAGGCCCUGCUACCAGGCCCACAGAAAAACACGGACUUCUCUCUCAUAGAGCCAGGAAACAUUUAACAUCUCCAGUUAAUUAGCCAGUGCCGGCUAGGGAUGAGGGAGGAGAGGGUAGCUUGGAG